GGCACAGUGGCUUAGUGGUUAGCACGUUCGCCUCACACCUCGACCGAGGGUGUCGGGGGUUCGAUUCCCGCCAGGGCCC